rnacentral:SRP_RNA from 1 species
GCUGGGUGGGUUGGCAGCCACCUGUCGUCCCGGUGCCUUGGGAAGCUAAGGCUGGUGGAUCCCUUGAGUCUGGGAGCUCUGGCCUGCAGGAUGCUACGGUGAAUGGGUGUCUUUCAGUGACUGGCAUCAGCAUGGUGUGUCUGGGGAAGGCUGAAGACAGCAGGUUGUGUAAAGAGGGGUGAACCGGCCCAGGCUGGCAACAGAGCAGGCCAAAGCCCCUGUGCUGGUCAGCUGUGGGAUUAUACCGGUGAGUAGCCAGUGUGGGGCAGCCUGGAUAAAAGAGGGAGAGCCAGCCUCCC